ensembl:ncRNA T06A4.5 ncRNA
AAUCGGCAAUUUGCCGGAAUUGAAAAUUUCCGCCAAAUCGACAAUUGCCGGAAUUGAAAAUUUCUGGCAAAACGGCAAAUCGGCAAACUGCCGGAAUUGAAAAUUUCUGGCAAACCGGCAAACAGGCUAAUUGCCGAUUUGCCGAAUUUAUCGAUAAAUCAGUUUGCCAAACGGCAAUUUCCCCCACCCCUGAUUGGGAUCUUUGAAAUAAAACAGGAAGA